rnacentral:rRNA from 1 species
AUUGAUCUCCCCGUGCAGAAGCGGGGAUAAUACCAUAAGACGAGAAGACCCUAUGGAGCUUUAGACGUCAGAGCAGCCCAUGUAAAGCACCCCUUAACAAAGGAAAAAACCAAAUGAAGCCUGCCCUAAUGUCUUUGGUUGGGGCGACCGCGGGGAAAUACAAAACCCCCAUGUGGAGUAGGAAUACACAUUCCUAAACCCAAGAGCUCCCGCUCUAAUGAACAGAAAUUCUGACCAAUAAGAUCCGGCACACGCCGAUCAACGGACCGAGUUACCCUAGGGAUAACAGCGCAAUCCCCUUAAAGAGCCCUUAUCGACAAGGGGGUUUACGACCUCGAUGUUGGAUCAGGACAUCCUAAUGGUGCAGCCGCUAUUAAGGGUUCGUUUGUUC